rnacentral:rRNA from 1 species
CCUACGGGUGGCAGCAGUGAGGAAUAUUGGUCAAUGGACGCAAGCCUGAACCAGCCAUGCCGCGUGCAGGAAGACGGUUCUAUGAGUUGUAAACCCCUUUUGUACGAGGGAAAACGCGGAUACGUGUAUCUGUCUGAAAGUAUCUUACGAAUAAGGAUCGGCUAACUCCGUGCCAGCAGCCGCGGUACUACGGUGGAUUAAAGCGUUACCCGGUUUUAGUGGGGUUAAAGGGUGCGUAGGCGGGCGGUUAAGUUACAGGUGAAAUCCCGGGGCGCAACUUCGGCAGUGCCGUUGAUACUGUGCGGCUAGAGAGUAGUAGAGGUAGGCGGAAUGUAUGGUGUAGCGGUGAAAUGCUUAGAGA